AUACCCUAAUUCCAGUCCUCCAUCUACGGUGCGCCGCCACCCGCUCCCUACCUACCUCUCCCCUCGCUCUCCCCCUCCCACCGAUCCACAGCGCCGCCGCCCUCCUCACAUCUCUGCUCACCGCGCCCCUCUCGCCUCUCUCGCCACUCAAGCCCCGAUCCAGCAUCGGCACUACAUCCGCUACUCUCUUCUCUUAAUCUCGACCCCGAGACCGUAGCUCGCGCGAACCCUAGCACCCCCUACAGGCUGCCGUCGAGGAUGAACAAGCUGGCCUCUCGCGGCUUGUCAAGUUCCUCGCCGACCUCCCUCUAAGCGGAAUGGCGCGCGGCUCCUCUCAUCGGCGUCCAGGUCCGCCCGUCCAAGCUCCGACUCUCAUCCGGAAGAAUUGCGGUCGGUUCCUCCAGACGAGCCGCCGCCCAUCUCUCUGCACCACGCUCCGUCUCGUCGCUUCGAACGCCAGCCCAUGGUCAAGCAUACCGACGGCACCGCUCCUAAGUCCGGCUGCCCCACAACCUUGCGCGUGGUCCGGAUCUGGAGCCGAAGCGCCCGACCUCGAUCUUGCUCGUCACACGCGCCUUUGUUGGCCUGCUUGUCGCGCGCGCCCUCUUCCUCCGCCGUGAAGAAGACCGAUGGCGCCUCUCCAGAUCCGCCAUAGAGGCUGAAGCCGCUCGAGAUGUUUCUGCAGGAGUGUCUCCCUUCCCGAGAAGAACGGGCUACACCUCGACCUGAUGGCUCUCCGCCGUCCAGGACGCGGGCAGCAUCAGCUGGGAUGACGACGUGAACCAGAUCUUCUUCAAGUACGACCCCAUCCACCGAACCUUCACUAAGUCAGGUGUUGGUCGCCACUUGCAAGAAGGGUCCUGUAGGUUGGGAGAGGGUCUGAUCGUGGAAGUUAAUUUGUUGGUCGCAAUUGGAGGUCUGGCUGUGUGGAAGUUAUUUUGUUGUUAAUUUAUUCAUGCUUUGACUAGUAUUGUCCUGUCGUGGGUUCACUUUGGGAGAGAUUUAGAUGGCAGUGUUUGAUAGCUGGGUUUUUACUGCAUAUAUGUGAUUUAAGCCAUGUGAAUAUUGUAAUAGACUUAGUUGUUGCUGUUGUGAAAACAAUGUCAUGUAUUCUUCGGUUC